AACUUGUGGGAGUUCUCAUCAGAUGUUCUCAAUUUUCCCAAGGAAGUAGGUGGAGAGGUCAUCUUUGAGAGUAAAUAGGCAGGGGAGGAAAUAGAGCUGGAGGAGAAGGCUGGCUGCUGUGGUGAAUUCCAAGACAAGGACGAUGACACAAGCGACAUCUUGGAAGAGGCAAAACUUGAGACAGGUCUUCAAGGAUUGGUGCCAUCUGGACAGGUUGAAGAGGAGUAGGAGGGCUUUCGGAUGUGGAGAAUGGCAUGCACAAAAGCACGGAGCAACACUUUAUGCCAGUUGGAUUAUGGUCCAUUGGGAGAAAGAUCAAUUAAGGUGAAACCCCAGUAGAGAAAGCACUGGAGAACAACAUU
rnacentral:lncRNA from 10 species